rnacentral:rRNA from 1 species
GACGAACGCUGGCGGCGUGCUUAACACAUGCAAGUCGAACGGAAAGGCCCUGCUUGCAGGGUACUCGAGUGGCGAACGGGUGAGUAACACGUGGGUGAUCUGCCCUGCACUUCGGGAUAAGCCUUGGAAACUGGGUCUAAUACCGGAUAGGAGCCAUUUUUAGUGUGAUGGUUGGAAAGUUUUUUCGGUGUAGGAUGAGCUCGCGGCCUAUCAGCUUGUUGGUGGGGUAAUGGCCUACCAAGGCGGCGACGGGUAGCCGGCCUGAGAGGGUGGACGGCCACAUUGGGACUGAGAUACGGCCCAGACUCCUACGGGAGGCAGCAGUGGGGAAUAUUGAACAAUGGGCGCAAGCCUGAUGCAGCGACGCCGCGGGGGGGAUGACGGCCUUCGGGUUGUAAACUCCUUUCGCUAGGGACGAAGCUUUUUGUGACGGUACCUAGAUAAGAAGCACCGGCUAACUACGUG